rnacentral:rRNA from 1 species
GAGUUUGAUCCUGGCUCAGGACGAACGCUGGCGGCGUGCCUAAUACAUGCAAGUCGAACGGUCUUUUCUAUGGAAGCUUGCUUCCACUGARAAGAUAGUGGCGAACGGGUGAGUAACACGUGGGUAACCUGCCCAUAAGAGGGGGAUAACAUCCGGAAACGGGUGCUAAUACCGCAUAGUUUUUCUGAUCGCAUGAUCGGGAAAGGAAGGACGGCCUUUGUGCUGUCGCUUAUGGAUGGACCCGCGGCGUAUUAGUUAGUUGGUGAGGUAAUGGCUCACCAAGACGAUGAUACGUAGCCGACCUGAGAGGGUGAUCGGCCACAUUGGGACUGAGACACGGCCCAAACUCCUACGGGAGGCAGCAGUAGGGAAUCUUCCGCAAUGGACGAAAGUCUGACGGAGCAACGCCGCGUGAGUGAAGAAGGUUUUCGGAUCGUAAAACUCUGUUGUCAGAGAAGAACAAGUCGGAGAGUAACUGCUCCGGCCUUGACGGUAUCUGACCAGAAAGCCACGGCUAACUACGUGCCAGCAGCCGCGGUAAUACGUAGGUGGCAAGCGUUGUCCGGAUUUAUUGGGCGUAAAGCGAGCGCAGGCGGUUCCUUAAGUCUGAUGUGCA